rnacentral:rRNA from 1 species
AGUGAACGCUGGCGGUAGGCCUAACACAUGCAAGUCGAACGGCAGCACAGUAAGAGCUUGCUCUUACGGGUGGCGAGUGGCGGACGGGUGAGGAAUACAUCGGAAUCUACUUUUUCGUGGGGGAUAACGUAGGGAAACUUACGCUAAUACCGCAUACGACCUACGGGUGAAAGCAGGGGAUCUUCGGACCUGGCGCGAUUGGAUGAGCCGAUGGCGGGUUAGCUAGUUGGUGGGGUAGAGGCCUACCAAGGCUUUGAUCGGUAGCUGGUCUGAGAGGGUGACCGGCAACAUUGGGACUGAGAUACGGCCCAGACUGCUACGGGAGGGAGAAGUGGGGGAUAUUGCACAAUGGGCGGAAGCCUGAUGCAGCAACGCCGCGUGCGGGAUGACGGCCUUCGGGUUGUAAACCGCUUUCGCCUGUGACGAAGCGUGAGUGACGGUAAUGGGUAAAGAAGCACCGGCUAACUACGUG